rnacentral:rRNA from 1 species
AUUGAACGCUGGCGGCAGGCCUAACACAUGCAAGUCGCGCGAGCGGCGGACGGGUGAGUAAUGUAUGGGGACUGCCCGACAGAGGGGGAUAACUACUGGAAACGGUGGCGAAUACCGCAUACCAGCGGAUAACCCAUAUGGGAUUAGCUAGUAGUUAAGGUAAUGGCGUACCUAGGCGCAGAUCCCUAGCUGGCCUGAGAGGAUGUUCAGCAAACCUGGGACUCGGACACCGCCCAGACUCCUACGGAGGCAGCAGUGGGGAAGAUUGCACAAUGGGUGCAGUCCUGAUGCAUCCAUGCGGCGUGUAUGAAGAAGGCCCUAGGGUUGUAAAGUACUUUCAGUCGGGAGGCGUUACCGACAGAAGAAGCACCGGCUAACUCCGUGCCAGCCGCCGCGGUAAUAC